UUUGGUGUUUCCACCGCAAGAGCGCGCUCACCCCAACUCGAUUCUGACUCGACUCUAGCCCGGCUUUGACCCUCGACGGAAACAUAGUCCGUGUGAAUUCGUUAACGUUCGCGAACGGAUAGUUGUUUGCCCGCUGUCUCUCGAUGAUUUCGAAACGUUCCGAUCGUGAUGCUUCUACUUCCUUUUCUUCUACGAGAGCCAGAACCUCUGGUUCUUCUUUUUCUUCUCCUUCUUUUUUUGCGCGCGUUUAACGACUCCUGUCUUCCGUUCCCAUAUACCCAAUUCUGUCAGGACAAAUAUUUUCAAAUGUACACAGCCAAAGUUUGAGGUCGGUAAGACUGCAGAUUGCCUACAGGAACUAAUAUAUAUUCAAUAACGUUUUACCAGCGUGUCAGCAGAAACACAACAAAGCCUGUUGACAUAAUUGGACAGCAGAUAGUCUGCAGAAACCGAGCAGGGCUCACUAGAUACGAUUGACGGCAGAAACCGAGCAAGAUCUGUGCGGUACAUUUUGAUAGAUUGACAACAGAAGCCCAGCAGGAUAGCGCGAUACAAUUUGAUGUCAAACUGUCGGCAGAAAUCGAGCAGAGCCUGCUGGAGGACAGCGAAUCUAUUUGAGAUUAUGGUUUGAAGGGACUCUUGCUACGGACUCUUGCUAUCAGACGAGAAAUACUACAAAGAAACAAAUAAUGAAGCGAGUGCUGAAUGUAUCGCUAUCAUCGAUCAAUCGAUCACUACCAUUCCAGACAAUCAAGAGCCUCGUGUAUGAUCAAGAAGGAAAAUUCGAAGAGUCUCAGCUCGGAGCCAAUUUGUUGUCUUUCUUAAUGGGAAACAUGCAACCAGCAGCUGCUUGUCGGGCGAACGGAAAAAUCAGGAUGCAACGGAAAAUGACAAAGAGAGAACGGAAGAAGGACAUCAAUAAUUUCCAGUCCCUUAAGGAAUAAGGUAUCGUUUGCACAUCCUAUACUUGGUGGGGCAAAGGACAGCAACGGCCCCUGUACAAUACACAAUUUGUUAUGACAAUUUAUGAGGCUGUAUGUAAUAACACCGACAUUUUGAGAAACCAACGCGUACGGAUUUUCAAGUACAAAUGCAGGAGGAACUCCGGACGGGUAAACGUGGCAGAGAUUACGGAGCAAGACUCGUCCACGUAAACAAUUGAUAGGCGAUACAACAAUCGAUAGGAAUCUAUGAAAUGAUGACUAGUCAGAACACAGAUCCGUUAGUCAUUGAUGAUAAAAUUAAAGUAUACACGAGUCUCCCGAUUUUCGCAUACUGAGACAUGGAUAUGUAGCGGCCCGAAGUAUUUACCGUAUCGCUAUUGUCUUAUUAGAAAGACAUCGCUAGAAUAACAGUAGUAAAGAUGAAACGACUGUACCAAAGCGGCAGAUAAUCAAAGCGGAGGCUCAAGCGGAGCGAACGGGACAGACGAAGCAAAUAGCAUGCCUGAAAAUAUCGAUGUAGAGAAUAAAGCUGCAACUUCAGCAGAAAAUUCAUCGAUCAUUCGAAGCAACGUCCCAAGUGGAACAAGGGGUCACGAUGACGUCAAAGUGAUAUUGAAAUGGUGUUAAAUAAGUGAACUUUUAUAAUGUUUCGUCACUAUUUUGCCGCAAUUUUGAUGUGAUCUUCAGUUUUACUUGUGGUAAAUUCCUCGGCAAAUUACAGAAACAUUCGUAUUCUUUAAUUUACUGACUUCAAACCAAUGGAUAUUAUUUUAAACCGAAUAAAAUGUUAUUAAUUUAACAAGAAGAAACUUGCUGCUGCUGCUAGACCAACGCAAACAUACGCAGUUGAAAAAUUUGAAGUAAAUUAUCUUACGAAGUUAAGAAAGAUGUUUGAUACUUGAUGUCGCUUAAUCGACACGGAAAGCACGAUUGCAAGAUGAUAGUGAAAUUAUUCAAUGUCAAAUUUACAAAAUGUUAAUAAUUAAAGUUUUGAUUGAAUCGUGCAAGUAGUUUCAUUAUUUUAAAAUAUUUUAAGUUCUAACAAGUGUCUGUAGGAUCUUUAGUGGCACAAAUUUUGUCAUCCAUUGACAUUUAAGCUAUAUGUGAUCGAAUCGUGUAUAUUUAUAAUUUGAUUCAUGCACGCGGUUACUAAUAUGGCAGCUUAGAACAUUUUAAUGAAGUAUAUUUCGUACUCUCGAUCCCCUCUCCUUUAGACAUUAAUAAAUAUCGGCACGUAUCUUUUACAUCGUUCGAUCGUGACGCAUUUCUAUUUCGUGAAUCACAAUCAGUCCUGCGAAACGUUUAUUGUUUAUGCUCCACGAAUAGUCUAGCUGUGACUAUAUUUUAUAUGCAAGGCGAAUCAUUAUGAGUAAGUGGUCCAUUGUUACGAAAAAACAAUGCUUUUAUAUUAAAAGUCGAAAGUGUACGGCGAGACUUCUUCUUAAAAACAAGGAUUUGAUUUUUUAAAUAC